CAGAUUGAACGCUGGCGGCAGGCCUAACACAUGCAAGUCGAGCGGUAGCACAGAGAGCUUGCUCUCGGGUGACGAGCGGCGGACGGGUGAGUAAUGUCUGGGAAACUGCCUGAUGGAGGGGGAUAACUACUGGAAACGGUAGCUAAUACCGCAUAAUGUCGCAAGACCAAAGUGGGGGACCUUCGGGCCUCAUGCCAUCAGAUGUGCCCAGAUGGGAUUAGCUAGUAGGUGGGGUAACGGCUCACCUAGGCGACGAUCCCUAGCUGGUCUGAGAGGAUGACCAGCCACACUGGAACUGAGACACGGUCCAGACUCCUACGGGAGGCAGCAGUGGGGAAUAUUGCACAAUGGGCGCAAGCCUGAUGCAGCCAUGCCGCGUGUGUGAAGAAGGCCUUCGGGUUGUAAAGCACUUUCAGCGGGGAGGAAGGCGUUAAGGUUAAUAACCUCGUCGAUUGACGUUACCCGCAGAAGAAGCACCGGCUAACUCCGUGCCAGCAGCCGCGGUAAUACGGAGGGUGCAAGCGUUAAUCGGAAUUACUGGGCGUAAAGCGCACGCAGGCGGUCUGUCAAGUCGGAUGUGAAAUCCCCGGGCUCAACCUGGGAACUGCAUUCGAAACUGGCAGGCUAGAGUCUUGUAGAGGGGGGUAGAAUUCCAGGUGUAGCGGUGAAAUGCGUAGAGAUCUGGAGGAAUACCGGUGGCGAAGGCGGCCCCCUGGACAAAGACUGACGCUCAGGUGCGAAAGCGUGGGGAGCAAACAGGAUUAGAUACCCUGGUAGUCCACGCCGUAAACGAUGUCGAUUUGGAGGUUGUGCCCUUGAGGCGUGGCUUCCGGAGCUAACGC
rnacentral:rRNA from 1 species